rnacentral:rRNA from 1 species
UACGAAGGGGGCUAGCGUUGCUCGGAAUCACUGGGCGUAAAGGGUGCGUAGGUGGGCAGGUAAGUCAGUGGUGAAAUCCCCGAGCUUAACUUGGGAACUGCCAUUGAUACUAUUUGUCUUGAAUACUGUGGAGGUUAGCGGAAUAUGUCAUGUAGCGGUGAAAUGCUUAGAUAUGACAUAGAACACCAAUUGCGAAGGCAGCUGGCUACACAAAUAUUGACACUGAUGCACGAAAGCGUGGGGAUCAAACAGG